AAUGCAACAGUCAUAAAUUCAUCAAAGAAGAAGAAGAAUGAACACAGGUGCAUUCUGGGUGUGGCUAACAUGCUAACAUCCCAGUGCUAACAUGCUGAAAAUGCUCAUGGCGGAUCUCUAGCUGAUUUUUGCGUUCAGUUAGGAACUUUUAACUUCACUGUGGUGUGUGAGGACUUUAUGUUCCACAUGUUUGAACACUUUUGAGGAGCGCAGUUCAGUUCACAGACAGAAGAAUCAUCUUACCUUCAUCUCUUUUCCUCUUUUCACCGUUGGAUCGUGGAAUACCCAGAAUCCCGUUGAUGGAGUAGGAUCCUGCAGGGUCGUUGGAGGCGCUGGUUACAGGCGGAGAGGCUGUGCUUGGUACUGGGAAAAGGACAGAAAAAUUAGCUUUGCAAUGAAAACAUGCAUGUUCAGUAUGUAUGUAUUCUCAAGCUGAUGCUUAUGCUGUGAGCUUACCUAUAGUAUGGCCAGGUGUGGACAGGGACGACCCAUCAGGAGACGGAUGGAAAGGCUGCUGGACUUUUGUUCGGAUGAUCCUGGUGGAACAAAGGAGAAGUUAGUGCUGCUUUUCUAUCACCAACUUCCUUGAGACACCCCUAACAUCAUGGAGAUAUCGUGUGAUUAAGAUAUCAACUCAUACGCAAGAAGGGAUCAGCGGCUCUACCUUUUUUAUAAAGCAGAGUGUACCUGUCUGCGGGGCUUGUCCGGAGACUGUUCACCCACCUGCCCAGGAUCUUGCUGACGCAGCCGUGGCUGACCCGCAGCUGUCUGGAGAUGUCGCAGGGCCGGACGCCCUGGUGGGCGAGCUCCACGAUCCGCUGCCUCACCACGUCCGGGAGGGGUCUGCCGUUCACAAACACCCCGCCGAGCUGGUUCACACCUCCGUGCCCUACGUGGGACACAACAGCCAGAAACAAACACAAGCGUAACAUUACAUAAAGCAGUGGCGAUGGAGGAGGAGGACGCAUGCUGCGGAAAAGCUGGAGGCUGAUACACGUGUAAAUUAAGAGUACCUGCAUGUUCUUUGUUUACUAUGACAAGUUUCUGCAUGUGUACAAAAGUAUUAUAUUUUUUAAAGAAUUUUAAAGCAGAAUAGUUGCUGAAAUGUGCACACAUAAGACAUAAGGCUAUUUACUCCACUAUUAUGUUUCCAUGUUUGCCACCAUGUCACACUAUAGCUGCUGAACCAUAAUCAUGGCACUUUAUGAUCCAUUUAUUUGUCUACAUUUUGAUUUGAAUGUUUGCUUUUAUUGUUUGUUUUUCCUGCCAAGAGCUGCUAAACUGUUUUUUCGUUGU